UGUUUUGUCUUCCUGUUUUCGGGGGGAAAAAGUGAAACUGUAGCUGGUUCAGUCUAUGGUUCACGCUCAAACUGUCCUGCUUCAUUUUACACGCUGAUCAUCCGCUCAAAUCUGCAGGGUGUCAGUUUUUCUGUUCAGGAUGUCAGCCGUUAAGAUGACAGAGGGGAGUGUGCAGGUGGAGAGCUGCAAAGCGCCGCUGUUCUACAGACAGAGUGCACCUGCCGCAGGGGAAGCUAGGAUGUCAGUUUUACUCCUUCACGGCAUCCGUUUCUCAUCAGAAAACUGGCUCAACAUUGGCACUCUGGAGACUCUGGCCAAAGCAGGCUGCCGUGCGGUCGCCAUCGACCUGCCAGGGCUCGGCCGGUCCAAGUCAGCCGAGGCCCCGGCCGCGGUUGGAGAACCGGCCCCUGCAGAUUUCCUGAAGGAGGUGUGUGAGAAGCUGAGCCUGAGCCCGGUGGUGGUGAUCAGUCCGUCCCUCAGUGGGAUGUACUCCCUCCCCUUCCUCCUCCAGCACCAGGCUCUGAUACGAGCCUACAUCCCUGUAGCUCCCAUCUGCACCGACAAAUUCACAGCAGAGCAAUACCAGAGUGUAAAGGUCCCAUCUCUGAUAGUUUAUGGUGACCAGGACACUCAGCUUGGAGAACUGUCACUGAGCAACCUGAGCAAUCUGGCCAAUCACAGCGUGGUGGUGAUGAAAGGAGCGGGUCACGCUUGUUACCUGGACGACCCGGACACUUGGCACAAAGCCCUCACUGACUUCCUUAAUACCCUGUGAAGCUGCUUGUUGUGUUUCAGUGGAGAGAUUCUCAACAGCAACAGUCACACAUACACUUCAUCUGUACAAAAGAAUGGAGCGACAUGGACCAGUGCCCAGAAAAAAAGGAGCUAAAUCUUCCACGCACACAAACAUUCACACUCACACACGUACAAGAAAUAAAAACAAAACAAAAAAUAAUUCAAAAUGUUUUGAUUUCAGAUCUCAAACUUAUCAACAGUGCUGUAUUCCUAUAUAUUUUAUAACUUCACUUAAAAUUCGACUGAUUUUACACUUUUUUUCUUCUAAAUGUUUGCUGUUAUUUUUUUAUUUUUUUUACACACUUGUCAAACAUGGUCACAUAGCACCAGACUACAGAAUCACAUACACACGUCUUUCCCACAGAGACGCACCAACACAGAUGCAGCGAGGGUCGGGAUGGGAGGGGGCAAAAGGCUUUAUGAAAACCAUCCCCUACUUAUUUUAGGGUCUUGUCCUAAAGCAGUCCCCCUCCCUUUCAUCAUCCCCAAGCUGGUCCAAUUUUCUAUUUUUUAUUUAUUUAUUUAUUUUUUGGCAAAAGUAAAUUUGUCAAACCACAGAUAUCAGACGUGUGUUUCCUUCAGAAGACUUUUUUUUGCACACACAGACGUCACUACAUGAUUCCUCCAUGACCUUCUGUUGGACGGCCCGUGCUGCUCUGUGGAGACCCACUCCCUGACUUUGUCUCUGAUAUUCCACCC